GACGAACGCUGGCGGCGGGCUUAACACAUGCAAGUCGAACGGAAAGGCCCUGCUUGUGUGGGGUUCUCGAGUGGCGAACGGGUGAGUAACACGUGAGUAACCUGCCCUGGACUUUGGGAUAACUUCAGGAAACUGGGACUAAUACCGGAUAGGAGCUCCUGCUGCAUGGGGGGGGUUGGAACGUUUAGGCGGUUGGGGAUGGACGCGCGGCUUAUCAGCUUGUUGGUUGGGGAGUGGCUUACCAAGGCUUUGACGGGUAGCCGGCAUGAGAGGGUGAACGGCGACAUUGGGACUGAGAUAGGGCGCAGACUCCUACGGGAGGCAGCAGUGGGGAAUAUGGCACAAUGGGCCGAAGUGUGAUGCAGAAACGCCGCGUGCGGGAUGCCGGUCUUCGGGUUGUAAACCGCAUUAGGCUGUGACGAAGCGUGAGUGACGGUAAUGGGUAAAGAAGCACCGGCUAACUACGUG
rnacentral:rRNA from 1 species